rnacentral:rRNA from 1 species
UAAAGCGCAUGUAGGCGGAACAGAAAGUUAGAAGUGAAAUCCCUGGGCUCAACCUAGGAAUUGCUUUUAAAACUUCUGUUCUGGAAUUCAGGAGAGGAAAAUGGAAUAUCCAGUGUAGAGGUGAAAUUCGUAGAUAUUGGAUGGAACACCAGUGGCGAAGGCGAUUUUCUGGACUGAUAUUGACGCUGAGAUGCGAAGGCAUGGGUAGCAAACGGGAUUAGAUACCCCGGUAGUCCAUGCAGUAAACGAUGGGUGCUAGUCGUCGGACUUAUGUUCAGUGGCGCAGCUAACGCUUUAAGUUGUCCGCCUGGGGAGUACGGCCGCAAGAUUAAAACUCAAAUGAAUUGACGGGGGACCCGCACAAGCGGUGGAGCAUGUGGUUUAAUUCGAUGCAACGCGAAAAACCUUACCUACUCUUGACAUACUUGGAAGCUCUUGUAAUGAGAGUGUGCUUUUAGAGCCAAGAUACAGGUGCUGCAUGGCU